rnacentral:rRNA from 2 species
UGAGGAAUAUUGGUCAAUGGGCGAGAGCCUGAACCAGCCAAGUCGCGUGAAGGAAGACUGCCCGCAAGGGUUGUAAACUUCUUUUGUAUGGGAUUAAAGUCGUCUACGUGUAGACGUUUGCAGUUACCAUACGAAUAAGCAUCGGCUAACUCCGUGCCAGCAGCCGCGGUAAUACGGAGGAUGCGAGCGUUAUCCGGAAUUAUUGGGUUUAAAGGGUGCGUAGGUUGCAAGGGAAGUCAGGGGUGAAAAGCUAUAGCUCAACUAUGGUCUUGCCUUUGAAACUCUCUAGCUAGAGUGUACUGGAGGUACGUGGAACGUGUGGUGUAGCGGUGAAAUGCAUAGAUAUCACACAGAACUCCGAUUGCGCAGGCAGCGUACUACAUUACAACUGACACUGAAGCACGAAAGCGUGGGUAUCAAACAGGAUUAGAUACCCUGGUAGUCCACGCAGUAAACGAUGAAUACUAGAUCUAUGCGAUAUGACAGUAUGGGUCUAAGCGAAAGCGAUAAGUAUUCCACCUGGGGAGUACGCCGGCAACGGUGAAACUCAAAGAGAUUGGCGGGGGUCCGCACAAGCGGAGGAACAUGUGGUUUAAUUCGAUGAUACGCGAGGAACCUUACCCGGGAUUGAAAUGUAGAUGCAUGAGGCUGAGAGGUCUCUUCCCUUCGGGGCUUCUAUGUAGGUGCUGCAUGGUUGUCGUCAGCUCGUGCCGUGAGGUGUCGGCUUAAGUGCCAUAACGAGCGCAACCCGCGUCGAUAGUUACUAACGAGUUAAGUCGAGGACUCUAUCGAGACAGCCGUCGUAAGACGAGAGGAAGGAGCGGAUGACGUCAAAUCAGCACGGCCCUUACAUCCGGGGCGACACACGUGUUACAAUGGUAGGGACAGCGAGCAGCCAUCUGGCGACAGAGAGCUAAUCUAUAAACCCUAUCCCAGUUCGGAUCGGAGUCUGCAACUCGACUCUGUGAAGCUGGAUUCGCUAGUAAUCGCGCAUCAGCCAUGGCGCGGUGAAUACGUUCCCGGUCCU